rnacentral:tRNA from 1 species
GGAAGUGUGCCCGAAUGCAUAAGGACCACUUUGAUAGAGUGGAAAAUAGGGGUUCAAGUCCCCUCACUUCCU